rnacentral:rRNA from 1 species
UACGGGAGGCAGCAGUGGGGAAUAUUGCACAAUGGGCGAAAGCCUGAUGCAGCUAUGCCGCGUGUAUGAAGAAGGCCUUAGGGUUGUAAAGUACUUUCAUCGGGGAGGAAAAACAAAACUAAUAAUUUUAUUUCUUGACGUUACCCGAAAAAGAAGCACCGGCUAACUCCGUGCCAGCAGCCGCGGUAAUACGGAGGGUGCUAGCGUUAAUCAGAAUUACUGGGCGUAAAGAGCACGUAGGUGGUUUUUUUAAGUCAGAUGUGAAAUCCCUGGGCUUAACCUAGGAACUGCAUUUUGAAACUGAAAUACUAGAGUAUCGUAGAGGGAGGUAGAAUUCUAGGUGUAGCGGUGAAAUGCGUAGAUAUCUGGAGGAAUACCUGUGGCGAAAGCGGCCUCCUAAACGAAUACUGACACUGAGGUGCGAAAGCGUGGGGAGCAAACAGGGAUUAGAU